UACAGAGGGGGCAAGCGUUGUUCGGAAUUACUGGGCGUAAAGGGCGCGUAGGCGGCCUUCUAAGUCGAACGUGAAAUCCCCGGGCUCAACCCGGGAACUGCGUCCGAUACUGGAAGGCUUGAAUCCGGGAGAGGGAUGCGGAAUUCCAGGUGUAGCGGUGAAAUGCGUAGAUAUCGGGAGGAACAUCUGUGGCGAAGGCGACACCCUGGACCAGCACUGACACUGAGGCACGAAAGCGUGGGGAGCAAACAGG
rnacentral:rRNA from 1 species